ACGGAGGGUGCAAGCGUUAUUCGGAAUCACUGGGCGUAAAGGGCGCGUAGGCGGCCUGGUAAGUCAAAUGUGAAAGCCCGGGGCUUAACCCCGGAAGUGCAUUUGAAACUGCCAGGCUUGAGUAUGGGAGAGGGAAGUGGAAUUCCUGGUGUAGAGGUGAAAUUCGUAGAUAUCAGGAGGAACACCGGUGGCGAAGGCGACUUCCUGGACCAAUACUGACGCUGAGGCGCGAAGGCGUGGGUAGCAAACAGG
rnacentral:rRNA from 1 species